UUCUGUCCACUGUUUGCAGGUUUAUAACCCUUCAAUCAUCUUUCUGCUUUAAAAAAUUGAAAACGAUGUCUGAAAAAGAAAUAAGUGGUCUUUCUUCUUUACAACUCGAGGAUACAACCACCAUUACUGAACCCGUACCACCAGUUGAGGAUACUACAACUGAACCAGGGCAACCAG